GAUGAACGCUGGCGGCGUGCUUAACACAUGCAAGUCGAACGGAAAGGCCAGUGCUUGCACUGGUACUCGAGUGGCGAACGGGUGAGUAACACGUGGGUGAUCUGCCCUGUACUUCGGGAUAAGCUUGGGAAACUGGAUCUAAUACCGGAUAGGACAACUUUUUGGAUAUUGUUGUGGAAAGCUUUUGCGGUAUGGGAUGAGCUCGCGGCCUAUCAGCUUGUUGGUGGGGUAAUGGCCUACCAAGGCGUCGACGGGUAGCCGGCCUGAGAGGGUGUACGGCCACAUUGGGACUGAGAUACGGCCCAAACUCCUACGGGAGGCAGCAGUGGGGAAUAUUGCACAAUGGGCGCAAGCCUGAUGCAGCGACGCCGCGUGGGGGAUGAAGGCCUUCGGGUUGUAAACUCCUUUCGCUAGGGACGAAGCGUAAGUGACGGUACCUGGAGAAGAAGCACCGGCUAACUACGUG
rnacentral:rRNA from 1 species